AUCACUUUUAACUGCAUAAAACUGCCUCUUCUUUUCCCAGGUGUGGUUUCUAGAGUUAAUCAUGAAUAUCUGUGGUCCCCACCGAAUGACUACUCUGUCUACCAAGAAUCUUUGACCACCAAGUUGACCUACUUUUACUCAGAACUUGGGAUAUUCGCUGGAGGCAUCGUGUGCCAAGGCCCAGGAGAGCUGCCUGCACUGAGCAACAGGAGGGAUGGGCCCUGAAGAUCCACAUACAUCCAUGAAACAUUGAACCAGUGGUGGCUAAGAGUGGGAAUCAGAGAAAGCGUAUGCUUCACUCAUUAGUACUGACUGGGUUAGGCGUUGUGGAAAUAGCCUUGGAGGACUGGUGAGAAGACUGGGCUUUGUGUCUCCUGCUUUCACUCUGCACAUUGUACCUGAAUGAGCUCAUCCCCUCCUGGAUUUAUCUUCCGUCUCACACGCAUGAAUCUUGGUACCCAACACCAUGCCUGGAAAAGUGACUAACGAUGUUUUGUGAAAUAACUACAUACAAGUUACUACUUCACUAACCAGCCAGCUGACCUUGAUGAACUCACUUUGACUCUCAGCUUGUCACCCAAAAAUGAUGAGUAUGAAAAUUUUAAGGUUCCAAUCAGUUCAAACUGUGUCUAUUGAAGUGCAUUGGAAAUUAAUUCUACUCUAGUGCCAUGUCAGAGAGAAUCAAGGCUCUAUAUCAGCAAAGGUUGGGCAACAUGAGGAAUGGGAGAAAACGGCAGCUGCCGUCCUCCUAUGCACAUAUAGCUUUCUUUGGAGCUUUGGCAUGUGGGUGAUGACACAUAUACUGGCUCACAAAUGCCAACACCCAAGACCACGACAGGGAUGCGGAUUCACCUGCCAGAGCAUUUGACACUUGCGUCAGGAACAGGCAACAGCUGAGAAAAGCCCUGAUCCAUAUGUGAGCAACUGAUGGUGGUACUUAUCUCGAAGGAAGCGAAGUGCUGAGUUCCUGCCACCCACCCACAUCUGUGGAUUUAUAAGCCACAAGCAAAUGAAAAACAAACGCGCUGCGGGCAUGUUAAGAAGUCUCGAGCUUUGACAAAGCCUACCAGGAAGAAAGAACUGGAGUGCGGAGGCUCUGCGCUGGUGGGCUGCUGGAACAGCACAAAAGGUCAGCCCUUAAAUUCGCCAUUUCUUGGGGCACAUUCUCUUCAUUGCUGGCGUCUGUGGUUGAAGCCGAAGAGGGGAUAUUUCUGAGACUCACAGAUUUUGGAACGAAGGACAAAAUUCAUGGUUAAUUAAGAUAGCCAUCUAUUCAUUUAUUGAACAAAUGCUUGUUUGAGUUUCUAGAAGUUGUUGGCUAGGAUAUGGUAACCCUUGCCAGAGAACCAGGUUGGAGUUUUUAAAGAAAAACCUAUUUUCAUAACCUAUUUUCAAAAUAUAAUCAAGGAUACUCAGUGCAGCCCUCGUUGUGAUAUCUCUGAAUUGGAGUGCAGUUAGCGGUCAGCAGGAGUGGGGUGUUAGCGGUCAGCAGGAGUGGGGUGGAUAAAUUUUAAAGCCUUUAUACAAUGAAAUGCUGUUUGAUGGAGUUAGAGAAGGUUAAGCCAGUAGGCACGGGUCUAAGCUCUUCCCAACACAUACUGCCGAGAAAAGGAAAGCUGCAAGCAAAUAACUUCCACAGAUGGGAUUCUCUGAAAACACAAUUCCCUGAAAAGCUUAGUAGGUUCUGACCUAUUUGCUGCCAGUCAAUUUUAGCAAAGACAAAGCCAAUUCUCUUGUCAAGUCAGCGCCCCAGAAUUUAGAUUCUGGUCCUCUGGCCCUAGAGUCAGCAAGCUCUGCACCAUUUGACCAGAGAUCAGCUUAAUACCCUCCAGGUUGGCCUCUGUCUCAAGACAAUUCAAAAGUCUCAUCUCUUCUUUCCCUUCCCAGCCUGCAGUCAAUCCUGGCUCUUUGUUGGGGUUUACUGUCUCCUUUCUGGACAAGCUUUCACAGGGUGAGGUUGUUUAAAAGAAGCCCGAGGGGGAAAGCUGUUGAAUCCUCCUGCUGUCUUACAUACCUUUGCUCCACUUUUAGCCUCAAUUCCAUCUUUAUCCGGAGGCAGAGAAUUUAUCCUCAGCUGUCCCUCUAACCCUGCAAGUACAAAGAGGAACAGAAUUUAAAACAUUUGUAAACUUGUGCGCAAAAAGGGUCUCAGCAAGGUUUUGUUUUCUUCAUUCCCAGAUGGGUUAGCAUGCAUAGAAGUUCUUUGUAAAUGAAAUUUGUUUCUUGCCGAAGCUUAGUGGUAGCUGCAAGGAAUAACCAAUGCAUCCCUACAUUCUAGGGUUUUUCUGCAAAAAUCUCUAACAUUCCAUCCUUGUCGGGCAUCUUCUCUAUAUCCCCAGAUAGAAUAGGCAACUGAUCAACCACCUUGUAACAGACAUUUCCAAUUUCUUAGCUUAUUAAGGAUAGAGAUAUUCUUUACCCCCAUCUACUGUAUCACCACUCAGUAACUCCACAUUUUAUGAACUCUUAUUUAUAAGAGCCUAUUUCCAAGUACUGGUUUCUGUGUUAGAAACAACUUUCAGUUUCGAGUGACAGAAACCUAACUCAAUAUAGUUUAAAAUAGCUUGUCUUCUAUUUGUGAAACAGGGUUGUUUUCUUGAAGCACUGCUGAUUUUCAUCAAAAACUUUGUAAGGUUGUGGAUUAACCUACUUGAGUGAUGCACUUUCUUUCUACCCCUCAGUUCUACUUCCUUGUAGUUGGCUUCGUUCUCAGACUUCUUAUACUCACUUUGGGCCAUUAUAGACAUCUAUUUUGAAGGCUGGAUCUGUUCUAGGUUAUCUGUUACUGUAUAAUACACCACCCUGAAACAGUGGCUCAAAACCCUAACUAUUCUCAGAGGGAAGACUGAGACUGUGGUCUAAGAGGGUAAACAAGUUUGGAAUCGUUCCAUUGCCUCUGAUGGGCCUGGCUGAGACAGGAGCUCCUCCUGAACACAUCAAUCACUAUGUUGGGCCAGGCCUGAAGGCAAGCUUGCCCGGCUACACCUGAAACACUUUCAGGGAGGAGGGAGUGAUUUCCCAAGGAAAACUGCUUUUUAUUACAAAAAAUUUGAGAAGUUAUAGAUUCUGGACAUGAAAAAUAAAAAAUAUGAAUGACUGAAGAAAUAUUAAAGUGGCAGAAAGCUAUUUGUAGGAGGAAGGAAUUAGAUUUAUGGACUUGAAAAAGAAGAGAGAAAUGGAAAAUCCUGAGUAGGCUGAAUUUUUGCGAGACUGUGUUUGAAAGAGUAGGGAGGAGAUAUUAGAGACAUUUGCUAUAGUGCAAUGUAGGAUUUUGGGGGCGACAGUAUUUUUAAGCAUAUUUUACUAUAUUUCAUGCUACUUAAUUUUCUCUCUCACUUUUGAAGAAAUAUGA